AUUUUUCAAGUAAUUAUUUUUACUGAAGUCAUCAUUAAAAUAAUAGACUGAUUGUUAUUAACGGACUUAUGUGGUUACUCUAUUCGGUUUACUCCCGCGCGUGCAAGUUUUUUCGUGCGUGCGUUAAUAAUAUCCAACUACGUAAAUUUAGUACUUAAUUAUUGAACAAAGAAAUACAUGUUUACUAACCUCAGAACAUCGUUUAUAUGUCUGAGACAGCAACAUCUUAUAGAGGUAGGCAAAGCUACCUAUACAUAGUCCAGCAUAUACAUAAUCAAAACAAUAACACUUAACUCAAAAACAGUAAUUAAACCAGUAAUCAAACUUCCCAAAACUCAAUAGCUGGCAUACAAUAUAAUGUGUAAAAUAUACUUUUUUUUACAAUAUAUUUGUGCUAAUCCAUUUUUUAAUAUUUUUCUUGUUAUAAUUUUUGGUGAUAUCUAGAAUAUUCAGAAUAGGAUUAUGUCUUUGGAAGACAAUUGUAAAUUUGUAUUGCUCGAAUGUUUUUAACACUCACUGCUUUCGUACACUUUGGUGGAAUUAUAAGUUUGUUUCUAGUUACACUACUAGAUGUUACAUAUGUUCAAAUCACACAUUCAUACGCAAAAAUCUGUUUUAAGUUUAAUAUUAUCUUGAUUGAAUUAUUUUAGUUGACAAUUCUUAAGAUUCUAAUCUAUGUCUUGACGUUGACAUAAAUGACUAUUAUUUUAUUUAUUAUAUUGUAUAUUUCUAUUUAUACUACAGGGCAUUACACAACACUUGUUUGAUUGAUUAAAGUAGUAUAUGUUUCUAGCUCGCAGUACAAUAAUGUGGGGAUUAUAAAAUGAAGUUGAACAUCCGACUAUUUUUCCAAUCAGAACCACUGGGUGGAAUGGCAAUUUAACAUCAGCCGAAGUCUGAUUUCUGAUCAACUUCAUUCAACUGAAUCAAGCAAUAUUUGUACUGCCCUUAUUCAACCGAUGUCCAAAAUCUGAAUUCACAUUGUGAAAGUACCUAAGUCAUGAUAAAAGCGUAUUUUGCUAAAUCCACAUUAUUGUGUAUUGUGUAUGUGUUUGUGUCUGAUAUCAUAUAUUUUUUUAUUAACAUGCAUAUAUUAAAAAAGCUGGUAACUUUAGUGAAAAGUCAUGUUAUCAACUACUCAUUUUGCAUAGGAUGCAAAAGAUUUUAUGCCGACGAUUGACUCGAAAAACCGAGAGCAAAGACAAGUAUAUUGAUUUAUCGAAAAGGAAUAGUUAUUGUAAUUAGCUCAACCAUGGGCAUCUAUAUACUGGAUUGGUUAAAUUGGGGCAAAGUUGCGCAGUCUAGAGCUUACUACAAUACUCAUUGAAAUUGAGCAGGCGACUGCUGUUUUCAUAUUGCACAACUAUUUUUAUAAAUGAGAAUCUGCCCACCAUUUCUUAAAGCCAAACAAAACGCAUUCGGACAGGCUCUGUGAAUAAUAAUAUAAAAAAGAAGAUACGCUUUGACUUGUAAUGUAUGUCAUUUAGUUUUUGUAAAAAAAUAUAGUUUAUUUUACGUAAA